UGAGAAAUUGCCUUCAGAGUAUUUCCCUGC
rnacentral:piRNA from 1 species